rnacentral:rRNA from 1 species
GUCGAGCGACAGAUAAGGAGCUUGCUCCUUUGACGUUAGCGGCGGACGGGUGAGUAACACGUGGGUAACCUACCUAUAAGACUGGGAUAACUUCGGGAAACCGGAGCUAAUACCGGAUAACAUUUGGAACCGCAUGGUUCUAAAGUGAAAGAUGGUUUUGCUAUCACUUAUAGAUGGACCCGCGCCGUAUUAGCUAGUUGGUAAGGUAACGGCUUACCAAGGCAACGAUACGUAGCCGACCUGAGAGGGUGAUCGGCCACACUGGAACUGAGACACGGUCCAGACUCCUACGGGAGGCAGCAGUAGGGAAUCUUCCGCAAUGGGCGAAAGCCUGACGGAGCAACGCCGCGUGAGUGAUGAAGGGUUUCGGCUCGUAAAACUCUGUUAUUAGGGAAGAACAAAUGUGUAAGUAACUGUGCACAUCUUGACGGUACCUAAUCAGAAAGCCACGGCUAACUACGUGCCAGCAGCCGCGGUAAUACGUAGGUGGCAAGCGUUAUCCGGAAUUAUUGGGCGUAAAGCGCGCGUAGGCGGUUUCUUAAGUCUGAUGUGAAAGCCCACGGCUCAACCGUGGAGGGUCAUUGGAAACUGGGAAACUUGAGUGCAGAAGAGGAAAGUGGAAUUCCAUGUGUAGCGGUGAAAUGCGCAGAGAUAUGGAGGAACACCAGUGGCGAAGGCGACUUUCUGGUCUGUAACUGACGCUGAUGUGCGAAGCGUGGGGGAUCAAACAGGAUUAAUACCCUGGUAGUCCACGCCGUAAACGAAGAAUGCUAAGUGUUAGGGGGGUGUCCCCCCCUUAUUGCUGCAGCUAACGCAUUAAACACUCCUCAUGGAGGAGUACGAGCGCGAGGGUGUAUCUCUAACGUAUUGAUUG